UGAUUGCCCCACACCUGCUUGCCUCCGCCUCCACCCUCACUGUUCUUCCAGCUUGCUCUGAGGUUGCCUGAAGAAGCCAGAUUAUGGAGAAGCUGUAUGAAAUACUGAUUCACUCAGAAAUGAACAUACCUUCCAGCAGGAGCUAGAGCUGAGCUUGAUGCUGUCUGUGGACAAGAGGAGCAGACUCUGGACCUCUGGUACACUGACCUAUUUUUCCCAACAAAAUCUACUCAGGACACUCAGGAAGCUAUCAGCUGAACUGAUAUUGGAAUAUCAGUCCUCUGGCCUCUGAAGCCUAUGUUCCUUCUGCUGCAAAAACCCUCUCAGCCCAGCUCUGUUUUUAAAAGAACAAGUCACGGGCAUGAAAUGAAGUAACAACAUGGUUUGAAAUAAAUUUGUCACAUACCAAAGCUUUAUAGCAGUACCCAAACAGAGCCGUUGAGCCAGACUACUCCAGACUGAUUCCUGUCCCAGUCUGCCGCUUCCUACUGGAACGUGACCUAGGAUGGCCUCACAAAUCAGAAAUGCUUCUCCUAACAGUCCCAGC